rnacentral:rRNA from 1 species
GACGAACGCUGGCGGCGUGCUUAACACAUGCAAGUCGAACGGUGAUCUUGAGAGCUUGCUCUUGGGUGAUCAGUGGCGAACGGGUGAGUAACACGUGAGUAACCUGCCCCUGACUCUGGAAUAACUUCGGGAAACCGAAGCUAAUACCGGAUACGACACGAACGGGCAUCCGUAUCGUGUGGAAAGUUUUUCGGUUGGGGAUGGACUCGCGGCCUAUCAGCUUGUUGGUGAGGUAAUGGCUCACCAAGGCGACGACGGGUAGCCGGCCUGAGAGGGCGACCGGCCACACUGGGACUGAGACACGGCCCAGACUCCUACGGGAGGCAGCAGUGGGGAAUAUUGCACAAUGGGCGAAAGCCUGAUGCAGCGACGCCGCGUGAGGGAUGAAGGCCUUCGGGUUGUAAACCUCUUUCAGUAGGGAAGAAGCGCAAGUGACGGUACCUGCAGAAGAAGCACCGGCUAACUACGUGCCAGCCGCCGCCGUAUGAC